rnacentral:tRNA from 2 species
GCCGCCAUCGUCUAGUGGUUAGGACACGAGAUUCUCACUCUCGAAACCGGGGUUCAAUUCCCCGUGGCGGUACGA